rnacentral:misc_RNA from 1 species
CUCCUACCAUAAUAAAGAUCCCAUGCAAAGGAACAAAGGAUGAAGGUAUAUAUAAAACAAAGAGAGGAGACGUUCAAAAACAUCUUUACAUGGGUGUGUAUAUAUAUAUUUAGAUAUAUAGAAACUGGUGGUAAAAGCAGCGUGGACCCAAGCCACCAGGAUGCCUCAAUGCAUGGGAAGACGAGGAGCACGAGACCUAACUGGUGUCUUUGAUGGGCUUAUCCUUAUUGGCAAUGAUCCAAGAACAACAC